AUGAACGCUAGCUACAGGCUUAACACAUGCAAGUCGAGGGGCAGCAUGAACUUAGCUUGCUAAGUUUGAUGGCGACCGGCGCACGGGUGAGUAACACGUAUCCAACCUGCCGAUGACUCGGGGAUAGCCUUUCGAAAGAAAGAUUAAUACCCGAUGGCAUAGUUCUUCCGCAUGGUAGAACUAUUAAAGAAUUUCGGUCAUCGAUGGGGAUGCGUUCCAUUAGGUUGUUGGCGGGGUAACGGCCCACCAAGCCUUCGAUGGAUAGGGGUUCUGAGAGGAAGGUCCCCCACAUUGGAACUGAGACACGGUCCAAACUCCUACGGGAGGCAGCAGUGAGGAAUAUUGGUCAAUGGACGAGAGUCUGAACCAGCCAAGUAGCGUGAAGGAUGACUGCCCUAUGGGUUGUAAACUUCUUUUAUACGGGAAUAAAGUGAGGCACGUGUGCCUUUUUGUAUGUACCGUAUGAAUAAGGAUCGGCUAACUCCGUGCCAGCAGCCGCGGUAAUACGGAGGAUCCGAGCGUUAUCCGGAUUUAUUGGGUUUAAAGGGAGCGUAGGCGGACGCUUAAGUCAGUUGUGAAAGUUUGCGGCUCAACCGUAAAAUUGCAGUUGAUACUGGGUGUCUUGAGUACAGUAGAGGCAGGCGGAAUUCGUGGUGUAGCGGUGAAAUGCUUAGAUAUCACGAAGAACUCCGAUUGCGAAGGCAGCUUGCUGGACUGUAACUGACGCUGAUGCUCGAAAGUGUGGGUAUCAAACAGGAUUAGAUACCCUGGUAGUCCACACAGUAAACGAUGAAUACUCGCUGUUUGCGAUAUACAGUAAGCGGCCAAGCGAAAGCGUUAAGUAUUCCACCUGGGGAGUACGCCGGCAACGGUGAAACUCAAAGGAAUUGACGGGGGCCCGCACAAGCAGUGGAGUAUGUGGUUUAAUUCGAAGCAACGCGAAGAACCUUACCUAGACUUGACAUCUCCUGCAUUACUCUUAAUCGAGGAAGUCCCUUCGGGGACAGGAUGACAGGUGGUGCAUGGUUGUCGUCAGCUCGUGUCGUGAGAUGUUGGGUUAAGUCCCGCAACGAGCGCAACCCUUAUUGUUAGUUGCUACCAUUUAGUGCUGGGGACUCUGUCGAGACUGCCGUCGUAAGAUGUGAGGAAGGUGGGGAUGACGUCAAAUCAGCACGGCCCUUACGUCCGGGGCUACACACGUGUUACAAUGGGGGGUACAGAAGGCAGCUACACGGCGACGUGAUGCUAAUCCCUAAAGCCUCUCUCAGUUCGGAUUGGAGUCUGCAACCCGACUCCAUGAAGCUGGAUUCGCUAGUAAUCGCGCAUCAGCCACGGCGCGGUGAAUACGUUCCCGGGCCUUGUACACACCGCCCGUCAAGCCAUGAAAGCCGGGGGUACCUGAAGUGCGUAACCGCAAGGAGCGCCCUAGGGUAGAACUGGUGAUUGGGGCU
rnacentral:rRNA from 1 species